rnacentral:tRNA from 1 species
UCUAAUAUGGCAGAUUAGUGCAAUGGAUUUAAACCCCAUACAUAAAAGUAGCCACUUUUUUUUAGAA